rnacentral:rRNA from 1 species
GACGAACGCUGGCGGCGUGCUUAACACAUGCAAGUCGAACGGAAAGGCCCUGCUUUUGUGGUGUGCUCGAGUUGCGAACGGGUGAGUAACACGUGAGUAACCUGCCCUUUACUUUGGGAUAACUUCAGGAAACUGGGUCUAUUACCGGAUAGGAGCUCCUUCUGCAUGGUGGUGGUUGGAAAGUUUCGGCGGUUGGGGAUGGACUCGCGGCUUAUCAGCUUGUUGGGGGGGUAGUGGCUUACCAAGGCUUUGACGGGUAGUCGUCCUGAGAGGGUGACCGGCCACAAUGGGACUGAGAUACGGACCAGAAUGCUACGGGAGGCAGCAGUGGGGAAUAUUGCACAAUGGGCGGAAGCAUGAUGCAGAAACGCCGCGUGCGGGAUGACGGCCUUCGGGUUGUAAACAGAUUUCCAAUGUGAAGAAGAGUGAGUGACGGUAAUGGGUAAAGAAGCACCGGCUAACUACGUG